GACGAACGCUGGCGGCGUGCUUAACACAUGCAAGUCGAACGAAGAGCGACGGAAGCUUGCUUCUAUCAAUCUUAGUGGCGAACGGGUGAGUAACGCGUAAUCAACCUGCCCUUCAGAGGGGGACAACAGUUGGAAACGACUGCUAAUACCGCAUACGUUCUAAUCUCGGCAUCGAGGAUGGAUGAAAGGUGGCCUCUACAUGUAAGCUAUCACUGAAGGAGGGGAUUGCGUCUGAUUAGCUAGUUGGAGGGGUAACGGCCCACCAAGGCGAUGAUCAGUAGCCGGUCUGAGAGGAUGAACGGCCACAUUGGGACUGAGACACGGCCCAGACUCCUACGGGAGGCAGCAGUGGGGAAUCUUCCGCAAUGGACGAAAGUCUGACGGAGCUACGCCGCGUGAGUGAUGACGGCCUUCGGGUUGUAAAGCUCUGUUAAUCGGGACGAAAGGCCUUCUUGCAAAUAGUGAGAAGGAUUGACGGUACCGGAAUAGAAAGCC
rnacentral:rRNA from 1 species